CGCCUCUUUGUAUCUUGACUCGAGACUAUCGAUAGACCCAAAAACAAAACCUUCCAUUCUUGGUCGCCUCACUGUCGACAGACCCAGAAAAAACCAGAAUCCUCACUCUCUACCCAAAACCUUCUUCUCUCUAUCUCGACAGACCCAAACCAAAACGAAAAUCCUCACUCUCCCAAACCCUCAUCCUUGUCUCUAACCAAUCUCAUCUCUCUACGAAUGGGACUGAGCCGGUGAACUGAGAUCGAGCCAGUUUAGCCUUUCCCUGAGAGCGAAGCACUGUUGGCCAGUUUAGCCUCUCGGACUGGUUCCCGUCGCAUCCAUCCUCAGAGAUUGUCAUGCUAAUGAUCGUCCUUGAAACUACCACCAAAGAUGAAGAGCCCAAUUUCACAAAUGGAAAGCGCUUCAUACGCACUUCUUCUGCUCUUUCUAGAGCCGGUGCAUGAUUCUUUCUGCAGAUAUUCUAAUGCUAAUGUCAAGAUGGACGUGUGGUUUAAUUGAAGACACCAUCUUUGUAUUAGGCAAACCAGUUUCAAAAAUAAGGUAAGCCAUUAGAUCAUUUGGUAUUAUCAAUUUCCUUUUCAAAAUAUGCUGUGAUGCUGUGAUUUGGUAGUCAUAUCACAAAGCUACAAGAAGAUAAUGAUAUAAUGAAAAGGGAGGUGAUAUUCACUCCCUUUUCCUCUAAAAAUAGUAAAAUACUAUUCACGUUUAAAACACAAAAGGGAGUGUGAAUAUCAUCUCCAUAAUGAAAAAUAAGACAAUAAAGUUGAUCAGGAUUUGAAAUAUAUUUAUAUUCGCAUAUAUUCUAGACAACAAGAAAGUUUUACAUAGGAUUAAAAGACAGAACUUAACAAUCCUUGAGUUCAAAAUUUGGAGUCUUAUGAACUUUAGACCAAUUGCCUUGGAGAGUAUCUCGUAUAUACAAUGUUCUCGUCUACCUGCUUCAUAAGAUGUGAUUUGAUUAUUCUUUAGAAUUUGGAAAUCUUUCUUCUCAGCUAAGAAGCAACUUGAGGAAGUACAACAGGUUUCUCCUCAGUGCAAGAGGUAAUUUGAUUUAGUAUAUGAUGAAGUGAUCAACUACUUAGCCUCUUCUUCAACUUGACUCAGCAGCGAGUUUCAAAAUGCGGAUUUUUCUAAUCCAAGAUAUCCACUUCAUUAGUAUUCAUGACUCAGACACGGGUUAAGAAUUGAGGAUACCUUCUCCGCAGGGAAUUGUACAACCAUCCAAAUCUUCUCCAGAGUGUUCAACGUGAUUGACCGUGAUGGCAAAAAAAUCAGAGACAAGGAUAUUGUCAAUUAUAUACAAAUUGUUUCAUAGCUAUGCAUGCCACACUUGCCAGUCGCAAUGUGGACUGUUGUUUGAUUCCAGAUUCCCUCUUAUUUCUUGAAGGACGAGGUGGACUUUUUGAGUUUAUUGAAGAACGACUCAGAAAAUGGACAUAUGGUUAUUGUGAUUGCUAAGGGAGCAGGACAGGAUCUUCUUUCAGAGAGCUUGUAAUCCAUGAACCAGCAAGAUGCUUCAGGAAACAAGCUACUAAAAGACGUUGGGUUAUGGAUAUCUCAGAGGAUCAAGGUGUUACUCGUAAUCUGUAGAAUUAGUGCUUGAGAGCUUCCAAAGCUAAGACUCCAAUGAGGCCAUGAGAGCAGCAAAGCUAGACUCCUUAAGUAAAUUUCUGGAUGUAUAUUGCUAGGAGAGUAGUAUUAGAUGUACU
rnacentral:lncRNA from 1 species